GGAUCUGUAGCUCAACGGCCAGAGCAGUGGUCUCUUAAACCAUUGGUUGAGAGUUCGAAUCUCUCCAGAUCCACCU
rnacentral:tRNA from 1 species